rnacentral:Y_RNA from 1 species
GGCUGGUCCAAAGGUAGUGAGUUAUCUCACUUGAUUGUUCACAGUCAGUUACAGAUUGAACUCUUUGUUCUACUACCUUCUCCCCUCCUCACUACUACACUUGACUAGUCUUUU